rnacentral:rRNA from 1 species
UACAGAGGUCUCAAGCGUUGUUCGGAUUCAUUGGGCGUAAAGGGUGUGUAGGUGGCGCGCUAAGUCGGGUGUGAAAUUUCGGAGCUUAACUCCGAAACUGCAUUUGAUACUGGCGUGCUUGAGGACUGGAGAGGAGACUGGAAUUCAUGGUGUAGCAGUGAAAUGCGUAGAGAUCAUGAGGAAGACCAGUGGCGAAGGCGGGUCUCUGGACAGUUCCUGACACUGAGGCACGAAGGCCAGGGGAGCAAACGGG